ACCAUGCAGUCGAACGGUGAGCUCAGCUUGCUGGGUGGAUCAGUGGCGAACGGGUGAGUAACACGUGAGCAACCUGCCCCGGACUCUGGGAUAAGCGCUGGAAACGGCGUCUAAUACUGGAUAUGAACCGCAGCCGCAUGGCUAGUGGUUGGAAAGAUUUUUCGGUCUGGGAUGGGCUCGCGGCCUAUCAGCUUGUUGGUGAGGUAAUGGCUCACCAAGGCGUCGACGGGUAGCCGGCCUGAGAGGGUGACCGGCCACACUGGGACUGAGACACGGCCCAGACUCCUACGGGAGGCAGCAGUGGGGAAUAUUGCACAAUGGGCGGAAGCCUGAUGCAGCAACGCC
rnacentral:rRNA from 1 species